rnacentral:tRNA from 1 species
GCUUGUGUGGCGGAAUGGUAGACGCACCAGACUCAAAAUCUGGCGAAUGCGAGUUCGUGUGGGUUCAAGUCCCACCACAAGCACCA